rnacentral:tRNA from 1 species
UGGUGAGUAGUUUAAUGGUAAAACAAUAGUCUCCAAAACUAUAAGAUAGAGGUUCGAGUCCUCUCUCAUCUGCUAA